rnacentral:rRNA from 1 species
UACGGGGGGGGCAAGCGUUGUUCGGAAUUACUGGGCGUAAAGGGCGUGUAGGCGGCCAACUAAGUCCGACGUGAAAUCCCCAGGCUUAACCUGGGAACUGCGUCGGAUACUGGAUGGCUUGAAUCCGGGAGAGGGAUGCAGAAUUCCAGGUGUAGCGGUGAAAUGCGUAGAUAUCUGGAGGAAUACCGGUGGCGAAGGCGGCAUCCUGGACCGGCAUUGACGCUGAAGCGCGAAAGCCAGGGGAGCAAACGGG